GCGGGUGUGGUUCAAUGGUAGAACCGAAGCCUUCCAAGCUUCUGACGCGGGUUCGAUUCCCGUCACCCGCUCCA
rnacentral:tRNA from 3 species